rnacentral:lncRNA from 1 species
CUCUUGUUUGUUGCAGAUUUUCAAUUUUAUGAUGCUUGAUUUGUAGCUUUACUGCUAACUCUAGACUUUAAUCCAACUAAAUUUCAGUUCCUUAAAACCUCCAACUUCUUUUUAGCCGAAUCACUGAGCUUUAAAGAAUUAUGGAAUUGAUUUGGGCCAGGUAGACUAAAACAGAACUUAGAAUGGAACGGAUGAGCUUAAGGUUUGAGAAUGAAAAAAAAAUGCUCAUCUCUUAUUUACCUCCUUACGAAACACUUCACCCACUUUACACUAAUUCAUUAACAGCUCAUGCUUGUUAUGAAUUAGUCACUUUUCAUUAUUCCAAUUGAUACCACCUCAUGCUUGAAAACAUAUGACUCAGCCACAUAAUCUUUGCAGCUCAUGCUUAUUAGUAAUUGACUCAGCUUAAAAUUUAUCGGUUAGCACUCAU